rnacentral:lncRNA from 10 species
UACACUUUGUACUUUAAUAUGCAAACUGCCUGCCUGCUCCAGAGAAGCAGCCUUUGUUCCUCAGUUCAUCGCAACACUCAGCCUGUCAGUCAGGUUGUGGGAUCCCUCCUAUCCAGGAACUGUAUGCUGUUGUCCCGGUUCUGACACUUUCCCUCUGAGUCCUUGGACACCUUACCUAACCUCUUGGAAGCUCCUGUCUGUGAAGGGUGUGCACAGAGAGCUUCGGUAGCCUGCGAAGCAGCCAUUUUCACUUCCACGGAGCAGUCCUCAGAAGUUCUUCUGGUUAAAAUCAUCUAAAAAGUUGUUUCAAGUCUCCAGAACAGCUGAGAUCAGCAAAAAUAAAUGAAGCUUCUUCUGUGUGGGUGCAGAUGCUGGCCUGGGUGCUGGAAUAUGGAAAUGAGGAAGAUCCUGCCUGAGGAUUUCAUGACAGUGCUGCGAUUACCGACGUGAGCCACUGUGCCCAGCCUCACUUUAAAAAAAAAAAAAGGUUAUGAAGCAUCUCAACACAAGACCUCCUUUGCUCAUCACAACCACCCAGUGAAGCAGGCAAGACAACAGAAACUCCCCACCUGUGAUAGAUGUGAGGCCUGAAGUCUCCCACAUACCCACGGCAGAUGCAACGCACAGCGGUGACCAAUGGUAGGGAUAACAAGUAUUGCUUCCGCCCAUUCAGUACUUCUUGCAUGCCAGAUCUGUGCUAAGUGCUAGAUGAACACAGUCUCUUUUCAUUCUCAUAGCUCUUUAAAACAGGUAUUGUUUUCUUUUAAAACAAAUUGUUUUGUUAAAUAUAAAUAUCAUGUACCUUAUAUAUAUAUUAUAUAUAAAAAUACAUGUAAUUUACCAUUUUAACCAUUUCAAAAUGUCCAGUUCAGGAGCAUUAAGUACAGUCACAUUGUUGUGCUACUGUCACUACACCAUCCACAGAAUUCUUCCUCUUUCCAAACUGAAAUUCUACGCACUUUAAACAAUAACGCCCUAUUCCCCCCUCCCUCCAGUCUCUGGCACCCACCAUUUUGCUUUCUGUCUUUGUGAAGUUGACCACUCCAGCUAUAUCAUAUAGUAUUUGUCUUUUUGUGACUGCUUUAUUUCAAUUAGCAUAAUAUCCUCAAGGUUCUUCUAUGUUGUAGCAUAUACUGGAAUUUCCUUGUGUGUGUGUGUAUGAACCUCUAUAAAGGAUCCUUCCUUUUUAAGGUUGAACAAUAUUCCAUGUAUGUAUAUAUCCAGUUUUGCUUAUCUGUUCAUCUGUCAAUGAACACUUGGAUUGUUGCCACAUUUUAGUUAUUGGGAAUAAUUUUGGCUAUUGUGAAUAAUCUGUACACAUGAGUGUACAGAUAUUUCUUUGAUAAAAUAGGUAAAUAAAAUUGCUUUAUAAAGA